UGAAGAUGUAAGCAAUAAAGCUUUGCCG
rnacentral:piRNA from 1 species